UGCGAGUCAUAUGUUCUUCGUGAACAUGGCGUACUGCUCAGUAACACGUGGAUAACCUGCCCUUGGGACCGGGAUAACCCCGGGAAACUGGGGAUAAUACCGGAUAACGCAUAUCUGCUGGAAUGCUUUAUGCGUAAAAUGGAUUUGUCUGCCCAAGGAUGGGUCUGCGGCCUAUCAGGUAGUAGUGGGUGUAAUGUACCUACUAGCCUACGACGGGUACGGGUUGUGAGAGCAAGAGCCCGGAGAUGGAUUCUGAGACAUGAAUCCAGGCCCUACGGGGCGCAGCAGGCGCGAAAACUUUACAAUGCGGGAAACCGUGAUAAGGGGACACCGAGUGCCAGCAUCAUAUGUUGGCCGUCCAGAUGUGUAAAAUACAUCUGUUAGCAAGGGCCGGGCAAGACCGGUGCCAGCCGCCGCGGUAACACCGGCGGCCCGAGUGGUGAUCGUGAUUAUUGGGUCUAAAGGGUCCGUAGCCGGUUUGGUCAGUCCUCCGGGAAAUCUGACGGCUCAACCGUUAGGCUUUCGGUGGAUACUGCCAGACUUGGAACCGGGAGAGGUAAGAGGUACCACAGGGGUAGGAGUGAAAUCUUGUAAUCCCUGUGAGACCACCUGUGGCGA
rnacentral:rRNA from 1 species